rnacentral:rRNA from 1 species
UACAGAGGGUGCAAGCGUUAAUCGGAAUUACUGGGCGUAAAGCGUGCGCAGACGGUUGCGUAAGUCAGAUGUGAAAGCCCCGGGCUCAACCUGGGAAUUGCAUUUGAGACUGCGUAGCUAGGGUGCGGAAGAGGGAAGCGGAAUUUCCGGGUGUAGCGGUGAAAUGACGUAGAUAUCGGAAGGAACACCAGUGGCGAAAGCGGCUUCCUGGUCCAGCACCGACGUCAGGCACGAAAGCGUGGGGAGCAAACAGG